rnacentral:rRNA from 1 species
GUGCACCAGGCGCGAAACCUCCGCAAUGCGGGAAACCGCGACGGGGGACCCCGAGUGCCGUGGCAACGCCACGGCUUUUCCGGAGUGUAAAAGCUCCGGGAAUAAGGGCUGGGCAAGGCCGGUGGCAGCCGCCGCGGUAAUACCGGCGGCCCGAGUGGUGGCCGCUAUUAUUGGGGCCUAAAGCGUCCGUAGCCGGGCCCGUAAGUCCCUGGCGAAAUCCCACGGCUCAACCGUGGGGCUUGCUGGGGAUACUGCGGGUCCUGGGACCGGGAGAGGCGGGGGGUACCCCUGGGGUAGGGGUGAAAUCCUAUAAUCCCCAGGGGGGACCGCCAGUGGCGAAGGCGCCCCGCUGGAAC